rnacentral:lncRNA from 1 species
ACUGCUCUACCAUAUAGAGUAAAGAUAUACCCUAAAAUAGACUUGCUAUUAUCUAAGUCUGAUUAAAAACUAGAGUCAGAAUAUCAUUUUAGUUUCAACUUAGAUCUACUAUAUAUUAGAAAAUAUUUUUAGCCCUUUUCAAGUACUUAAGAAUAUUUUUCAUCACUUUUUAAUGAUCCUCUUCUGGAUCGGCUUGAAAUCUACUGACUAUGCCCAAGACAUAGGCAACAUC